UAUACAUGGUAUAUACUAUAUACUAUAAACACUCAUAUAUCUAAGUAUAUAAAUAAAGUCCCUUAGACCCGGUCCUCUUUAAUUUUACAGUGUAAUAUAUGUGUUGCUAAGGGCAAAACGACACUCGUUGAACACCUUGUAUGUGGUCUCCUUCCUCUACCGCAGGUUGACUUUCUGGCAUGCAUUGGACGAGCAACACUACCUUCUUCAGUUAUCCUCAUCAUGAAAUGCUUAUUGACCAAUGACCUUGCCUUAAAACACAGCCUCAGGGGUCUGCAGAAGAAAAAGGCUUUCCAGCAACUCGCCCUUCGUGGAUGUGUUGUUAUGGAGGCAGUGAAACGGUGCUAGAGAAGGUGAAAUUGGACGACGCAUAGGAAAGCUAGCUGAAGAAAGAAGCUGAAAGUUAGGCGGAAAAGAGGAGAGAUAAAAGAGGGUGGGGCCAGAGGACGGACGAUUGAUAGUCAGAUACCAAGUACACACAUCUAUGGAGGAGCACUGUCAGGCAUGCGUGCUGUUUUGUAAUAUUUUGUACCUGCAAUACGUUGACCUUUAUGUCUGUGAUGCUUUAAAACAUAGUAUUAAACAGUCAUACUGAUA